rnacentral:rRNA from 1 species
AACGAACGCUGGCGGCAUGCCUAACACAUGCAAGUCGAUCGAGACCUUCGGGUCUAUUGGCGCACGGGUGCGUAACGCGUGGGAACCAGCCCUUAGGUUCGGAAUAACUCCCCGAAAGGGAUCUUAAUAACGGAUAAUGUCUUAGGACAAAAGAUUUAUCGCCGUUGGAUGGGGCCUCGUUGGAUUAGCUAGUUGGUAGGGUAAAAGCCUACCAAGGCGACGAUCCAUAGCUGGUCUGGGAAGAUGAUCAGCCACACUGGGAAUGAGACACGGCCUAGACUCGUACGGGAGGGAGCAGUGGGGAGUAUUGGACAAUGGGCGAAGGUCUAAUCCAGCAAUGCCGCGUGAGUGAUGAAGGCCUUAGUGUUGUAAAGCUCUUUUACCCGGGAUGAUAAUGACAGUACCGGGAGAAUAAGCUCCGGCUAACUCCGUG